UCUCCGUUGGUGAACCAGCGGAGGGAUCAUUACCGAGUUUACAACUCCCAAACCCAAUGUGAACGUUACCAAACUGUUGCCUCGGCGGGGUCACGCCCCGGGUGCGUCGCAGCCCCGGAACCAGGCGCCCGCCGGAGGAACCAACCAAACUCUUUCUGUAGUCCCCUCGCGGACGUUAUUUCUUACGGCUCUGAGCAAAAAUUCAAAAUGAAUCAAAACUUUCAACAACGGAUCUCUUGGUUCUG
rnacentral:misc_RNA from 1 species